GCUUUGGUGGUUUAGUGGUUAGAGCAUCCAUCUCAGAUUUGGGAGGUCGUGGGUUCGAUUUCAAGCUAAGUCA